UUGAACACCAAAUCCAAUGAAGCAGCAGAUUAUAGCAGGUGGGUAUGGCAGGAUUCGAACUCGGGUCUUCCGGGUGAUAGGCGAGCAGAUUAGCAGUGGACCACAGGUCAGGCAAGAGUUUUGAACUCGUGAGCAGGGAAUUGUCCACAGUCUUAAUUUGCUCUACGAGUGUAGUGAAGGGGAAAACGCUCAACUCACAGCUGGAGGAAGAUUUCUUGGAGAGUGGUUCAGGUGAGGACUGGGUGAGGAUCCAGAGCUUGCAGAGGAGCUGGCAGAACCAACAUCGGCAGAGGAGGUGAGUUGGCGAGGUGAAGCUGACGAGAAGGGGGAUCUCAACAGAGCAGGAACAGGCUGAGUGACAUUCAGCUGCAGGCAGACGAAUAGCAGGAACCAGGCAGGCAAAGCUCGUAGUCAAGGACAGAAGGCAGGUAGGUUUACCGGGGCUGAGGCGAGAAGCAAAGGUCAGGGGCAGAUCAGGUCGAUACCAGGUAAGCAGUCCGAGGAUAAACGCUGGAGAGUCAGGCAUGAGAGCGAAGACAAUCUGGCAAAGAGUGAGGGGAAAGAAGCUGCAUAUAUACUGGCCUGAUUGGAGAUGAUGAGCAGGUGAGAGCAGCAGGUGGAAGCAGUUAGCUGAUGAGGGGUGUGGCUGAGCAGCAGAGCAGGAGAGGGGCAGAGCAGACUGUUACAGAACCCCCCCCUCAAGGGAUGGCUCCUGACAUCUCCAAAGGUUAAACUGGGGGGGGGGGGGGGGGGGGCAGGGGGGAAUGGAGGUGGGCCUAAAACUCCUGGGAGCAAGACCUUGUCAUCUCUUCAGCAGGGUGGGUGGAGGGGGUCUGGAGGAGGGUUUCUCUGACACCUGACAUCCUCCCCGCAGAACGGUCCUCCACAUCCUGGACAGGUGGGGGCAAGGUGCGGGUUCCUCGACGGGCUGACUCAUUGGCUGACUGGUCAGGAUGUUGCCGAUGAAAGUUGGCCACAAGGUUGGGGUCCAAAAUGUGGCGAGCAGGAACCCAAGAUCUCUCCUCAGGGCCGUAACCCUCCCAGUCCACAAGGUACUGGAGACCCCUACCUCGCUGCCGAGAACGAAUUAAGCGGCGCACUACAUACACCGGACCGCCGUCGACCAUUCGUGGAGGGGGAGGUAGUGGUGCCGCAGGGAACAAGGGGCUGUUGUGGACUGGCUUAACCUUGGAGACAUGGAAGGUAGGGUGUACUCUCAUGGACCGUGGGAGUUUCAACCGGACUGUCACAGGGUUGAUGACCCUCUGAAUGGUGAAAGGCCCAAUGAACCUCGGAGCCAUCUUUUUGGAUUCCACCCGGAGAGGUAAGUCUUGGGUGGAGAGCCACACCUUCUGACCCGCUUGGUAGGUAGGUGCAGCCGUACGGCGGCGAUUGGCAUUGGCAGUGUAACGACCCACGGAACGGAGGAGGGUGGAGCGAGCCUGGAUCCAUGUUCUGCGGCAGCGACGGAUGAAGGCUUGGACUGAUGGACAGGAGAGCUCCUUUUCCUGGGCUGGAAAAAGUGGUGGUUGAUAGCCGUAAGCACACUGGAAUGGAGAGAGGCCAAUAGCAGAGCAGACGAGGGAGUUGUGGGCAUAUUCCACCCACAAAAGUUGUGACGCCCAAGAAGAGGGGUUCUGCGAGGCCACGCACCGCAGGGCUGUUUCCAGUUCUUGAUUCAUGCGCUCAGUCUGUCCAUUGGUCUGAGGAUGGAAUCCAGAGGACAGACUGGCGGUAGCACCCAGUAGACUGCAGAACUCCCUCCAAAACACGGAAGAAAACUGGGGACCGCGGUCCGACACCACAUCAACAGGGAGACCAUGAAGGCGGAAAACAUGGAGCAGAACCAACUGGGCAGUCUGUUUAGCAGUGGGAAGCUUGGGCAGAGGCACGAAGUGGACCAUCUUGCUGAAGCGGUCCACGAUUGUCAGGAUGACAGUGUGACCAUCAGAGGUGGGAAGACCGGUUACAAAGUCCAAAGAUAUGUGAGACCAUGGGCGGUGAGGAACAGGAAGAGGUUGUAGUAGCCCAGCAGGAGGCCGAUGGGAGGUCUUAUGUUGGCUGCAGGUUGGACAGGCCUUGACGAAUUCCCGGACGUCCUCUUGCACAGUGGGCCACCAGAAAUGUCGGAGGAGGGCAUGCUGUGUCCGUUGAAUCCCAGGGUGGCAGGAGAGCUUGGAGGAGUGGGCCCAUUGUAACACCUCCGACCUCAAGGCUGGUGGAACAAAGAGACAGUUAGACGGGCAGGAGCUGGGGCCCGGCUGUCCUUCAGUGGCUGCCUUCACCUUCUCCUCAAUGUCCCAGGUCAACAGGGCUACAAGGCAGGAAGUAGGUAGGAUGGUCUCAGCUCCAACAACAGAAUCCUCUGUCCUCUGGAACUGUCGGGACAGGGCGUCAGGCUUGACAUUGCGGGAACCAGGACGGUAAGAGAGGGUGAAGUUAAAACGGGCGAAAAAGAGGGACCAGCGGGCCUGGCGAGAGUUCAGUCUCUUUGCAGAGCGUAUGUACUCCAGAUUCUUGUGGUCAGUCCAUACGAGAAAAGGUUCCUUCGUGCCCUCCAACCAAUGGCGCCACUCUUCUAAGGCCAUCUUUACUGCCAAGAGUUCCCUAUUACCAAUGUCGUAAUUCCUUUCUGCAGAGGACAGGCGUCGGGAGAAGAAGGCACAGGGAUGGAGCUUCUGGUCAGUGCAUGAGCGUUGAGACAAGACGGCCCCCACCCCAACGUCAGAGGCAUCUACCUCGACCACAAACUGGCGUUCAGAGUCAGGCAUCAGGAGGAUGGGCGAUGAGGUGAACCGAUCCUUGAGGAACUGGAAGGCCGCUGCAGCUGCAGAGGACCACUGGAAGGGCACUUUGGGGGAGGUCAGAAUGGUGAGAGGGGCUGCUACUGAGCUGUAGUUGCGGAUGAAGCGACGGUAGAAGUUGGCGAACCCAAGGAAGCGCUGAAGCUGCUUGCGGUUCUCCGGAACAGGCCAGGAGGUAACAGCUGAGACCUUGGCUGGGUCCAUCUGGAUGCUGCCUUGAGCCACAAUGUAUCCCAGAAAAGAUGCUGAAGGAACAUGGAAAUCACACUUUUCUGCUUUUACAUACAGGGAGUUCUCCAAGAGGCGCUGAAGGACGGAUUGGACAUGAUGAAUGUGUUGCUCUUUGGACCUGGAGAAGAUGAGUAUAUCAUCGAGGUAAACAAAGACAUACUGGUUGAUCAUGUCUCGCAGAACAUCAUUAAUCAGAGCCUGGAAGACGGCAGGGGCAUUGGUGAGGCCAAACGGCAUUACGAGGUACUCGUAGUGUCCAGUAGGGGUGUUGAAUGCCGUCUUCCAUUCAUUUCUUUCUCUGAUGCGGACGAGGUGGUAGGCGUUGCGUAGGUCGAGUUUGGAGAAAAUGGUGGCCCCCUGGAGUAGUUCAAAGGCACUGGAGAUGAGUGGCAGUGGGUAACGGUUCUUUACCGUGAUCUCAUUUAGUCCUCUAUAAUCUAUGCAAGGUCUCAAUGUCUUGUCCUUCUUCUCAACAAAGAAAAACCCUGCUCCAGCAGGGGAUGAAGAGGGACGAAUGAUGCCUGCGGCCAAGGAGUCAUUUAUGUACGUCUCCAUGGCCCUUCUUUCAGGUUCAGACAGGGAGUAUAGGCGACCCUUGGGAGGUGAUGAACCAGGCAGGAGAUCAAUGGCGCAGUCAUAGGGUCGGUGUGGAGGCAGAGAGGUGGCUCUGGCUUUACUGAAGACCUGGCGGAAGUCAUGGUACUCGGGUGGCACCCCACUGAGGUCAGGUGACGAACUGGAGCUACAUCCGGAGGGAUGAAGCGGAACUGAGGCUUGCUGCAGGCACCUCUGAUGACAGGAGGAACUCCACUCCCGGAUGGUCCCAGUUGCCCAGUCGAUGUGCGGAUUGUGAAGACGGAGCCAUGGAUAUCCCAGGAUAAGUGGCAGGCAGGAAGAGCUCAGGAUGUGAAACUGGACGGUUUCAUGAUGAUUACCAGACAGUAGCAGAUGAACAGGAGAGGUCUGAUGCGUGACGGUGCCCAGGACAUGUCCAUCUAAGGCUCGAGCAGGAACCGGGUGAGGCAAAGGAACCCGCUCAAGCCCCAGCUGAAGGACCACCUCCUCGUCAAUGAUGCUGGCAUCAGCCCCGGAGUCAAUAAAGAUAGCCAAGGUGUGGGGGCCGUCUGGAAGGAGGAGGCGGCCUUGGAGCAGGGGUCGCUGGCUUUGGGGAGGUGACAGGGUAGUUGAGCUCACCAGGGUCUCCCCAGCUACGGAUGAGCUCUGGCUUUUGCUGGACAGCCGGAGAUAUAGUGUCCCGCUGCCCCACAAUAGAGGCAGAGUUUGGACUUGCGUCUACGCUCUCUCUCUUCCAGGGAGAGAGAGGUGCGGCCCAACUGCAUGGGCUCUGGAUCCUGAAACUGCUGACCCAAUGGGGUGGAGUUGGCUGCAGCAGCACCCCCACGGGAGCGAAGUGGACGAGUAUGUUGGGUUCCCCCUUGACGCUUCUCUCGUUGUCGAGUCUGAACACGAAGAUCAAUGCGGACGGCCAAGUCAAUCACCCCGUCCAAGGUGAGGGAGGUGUCAUGUGAAACCAGUUCAUCUUUAAUGUAAUCUGCCAACCCAUGGAGAAAGGCAUCACGGAGAGCUGCACUGUUCCAACCACUUUGGCUGGCUCUGGUGCGGAAAUCAAUGGAAUAGUCAGCCACUGUUCGUUCGCCUUGCUUCAGUCCCAUCAGUCCCCUUGCCGAAUCAGAUCCAGAAUUCUCAAACCCAAAAACCUUCCGAAGCUCAGCAGCAAACAGGUCAAAUGAAGCACAGGCUCGAGACCGCCUCUCCCACUCAGCUGUUCCCCAUAGUCUAGCUCUGCCUGUCAGGUGGUUAAUGACAAAUGCUACCUUUGCCGGUUCUGUGGCGAAGGUGCGGGGCUGUAGGGCAAACAGGAGAGAACAGUUGGUGAGGAAGGGGCCGCAAGUCUCUCGAUCUCCGUCAUAACGCUCUGGGGUUCCCACCCGUGGAUCAGGAGCAUCGCUGGGUAGAGAAGAGGCGGGUACAGGUGCAGGAGCAGAAGGUGAAGCUUCCGAAGAAGAGGCAAAUCCAGCAGAUGAGGGGAGCUGGGUUAGUUGAGCUGCUAGCUGUUGCAUCUGUGCAGCUAAAGCUGCUAGUGAUUGUCCCUGAGUCUCAGCAGCUCGUCUAGCUUCAGCGGCAGCCGCAGUCAUCAUGGCUUCAUGUUGCUGCAGAACGCCCUCAAUUGUCUCAAGGCGAUUCAGUGGUGAGGGAUUGUGUGCUGGGUCCAUAGUUUGGCCAGAUUGUACUGUAACGGGUAUUGACUGGACCCAAUUGCAGCACAAACAAGCAGGUUCACUUUAACAACAGUCUUUAUUGAACACCAAAUCCAAUGAAGCAGCAGAUUAUAGCAGGUGGGUAUGGCAGGAUUCGAACUCGGGUCUUCCGGGUGAUAGGCGAGCAGAUUAGCAGUGGACCACAGGUCAGGCAAGAGUUUUGAACUCGUGAGCAGGGAAUUGUCCACAGUCUUAAUUUGCUCUACGAGUGUAGUGAAGGGGAAAACGCUCAACUCACAGCUGGAGGAAGAUUUCUUGGAGAGUGGUUCAGGUGAGGACUGGGUGAGGAUCCAGAGCUUGCAGAG